rnacentral:tRNA from 1 species
GGCAGCGUAGCUCAGUUGGUAGAGCAAGCGGUUCAUACCCGCUCUGUCAGAGGUUCGAAUCCUCUCGCUGCCA